rnacentral:rRNA from 1 species
UACGAAGGGGGCUAGCGUUGCUCGGAAUCACUGGGCGUAAAGGGUGCGUAGGUGGCUUGUUAAGUCAGACGUGAAAUCCCUCGGCUCAACCGGGGAACUGGCGUCUGAGACUGAUGAGCUCGAGUGCAGGAGAGGAACGCGGAAUUCCAGGUGUAGCGGUGAAAUGCGUAGAUAUCUGGAGGAACACCGGUGGCGAAGGCGGCGUUCUGGACUGCAACUGACACUGAGGAACGAAAGCCAGGGGAGCAAACGGG